rnacentral:rRNA from 1 species
UACGUAGGGGGCAAGCGUUGUCCGGAGUUUAUUGGGCGUAAAGAGCGUGUAGGCGGCUUCACAGGUCCGCUGUGAAAACUCGAGGCUCAACCUCGAGCUGUCGGUGGAAACCGUGUGGCUAGAGUCCGGAAGAGGAGAGUGGAAUUCCCGGUGUAGCGGUGAAAUGCGCAGAUAUCGGGAAGAACACCCGUGGCGAAGGCGGCUCUCUGGGACGGUACUGACGCUGAGACGCGAAAGCGUGGGGAGCGAACAGG